rnacentral:sRNA from 2 species
AGGAAAUUUGAACCCCGAUAGCUCAGAGCCCGAGGCUUGUAUCUCGAGGGCCACGUUGAGACCAGCGGGGCAAUUAAUUUAGCCUGCCUGGUAACAUAGUCCAACCACUGGGUCUAGGGAGAUAGAUGCAUGUCGGUAGACCCUUUCGGGUCAGGUUUGAAAUUUCUGAGCAGGAGGGCUCACUGUGAGUCAUUCAAAGUCCUAAAAUUGGGGCGUGCAAUUUUGAGUUAUAUUCAACCUUAUUUAGGGUAUCUUUGGAUAACACCGAGAUCAAUGACAUGGUGAAUGGGAGGCCAGAAACGGCCGCCCUUGACGCCGUUUUAAGUCACCGUGGGAGGUCUUGGCGUCACGUGUGCUAAAGCCCAUUGAUCGAACGAACGUCCAUAGCCGCCACAGGACUGAGCAAUUCCAAUGACAAAGAUCAACCUGCCGUUUCUUCGAUAAAUACUGACACUCCGUCCAUAUUGCUUUUCUUUUUUCUCUCCUGGCCUAGGCUAGCUACCCAGCGCAAAUUUCAUCGGAAACAAACUGAUCAUCCCCACUUGUUGAGGUAUUUCUCAUAUCUCUUCAUCACAAAAAGACCCGUUAAUAAAACGGCGGUUGCAGUGGAGAGAACCAUAUCCAAUGCCCUCUCUUUCAAUGAAAUCAAGUCCUUCGAAGAACAGGAGAAGGAGGUGGACAAGGCGGCCUUAAAAGCGAUCGCGGACAUAUUUGUCAGGCAUAGCAUGCAUACCAAGCUAGGAGCCGGGCUGCUCCAUCGUCACGACGCUCUCGAAGACGGAACUGUGAUGUUUCACAAGCUUCAAUCGCGCGAAUCUGAUUAUCUACGUCCUCAAGGCGCUUUCGAGCAUUGACAUGGACAAGAUUACGCCCAACUCGUGGUUCCUCAAUCAAAAUGGACUGUUCCAGGCAUUUGAGUAUGAUGCCAGUGACGAGGCAACUCAGCCCGAUCCAGCUUUCGCUUUCGACCACGCUGAGUUUUUCGAAGCUCACGGUUUAGAGAAAUGAAUUUCAAUCAUUCCGAACCCUUCCGACAGAGAAGAUUUCAUCGAUUUCACGCAUCUUAGUGGGCGUGGCACCAUCAGUGUUUCUCUUCGCCUCAUCUCCGAACAAAAUAUUGAGACGAGUGAACCUGUCAUCACCGGACGGAGCUUCCAUGUCAAUGAAAUGGGGGUUGUUGAGUGCAAAGGGAAUAAUGUCUGUAGACCUAUGAACUCUGGCAAUCACAAAGUGCUUCAGGACUCAAAGCCCUAUACAGAGCAUGUAAGCAAGGUUAUGCCGCUGGUAGAUGUUGCCGAAGAAGAGUCUUAGUUUUGCAAAUCCUUGGGAAUAUCCUCUACUCUUAACACCCCUCGCUUGUUUGGUUACAUCUUUGCGGGGAUGCUCCCUGAGCUAUCUGCAGAAGUAGAAAAUUAAGCACAUACUAUCACAUCGAAACCUCAGUAACUAGAUUUUGUGCAAGAUCGGCGCGGGCAUUCCUUGUUACUUUUCUGAAUGGCUCUUGAUACUGUAAACUUUCGGAUAAGCAUACUCUGAAGCUUCAACGCACCAAGGUCCCGUCAAGGACUGAUCUAAUACGACAACAAGAAUCCAUUCAUGAAAGAUAAACUUCGAAGAUAUCCAUCUAGAUAGUGCUCAGCUCGUUCGUCUUUGAACAUGAGAAGUCGCUCCACACCAUAC